rnacentral:rRNA from 1 species
AUCUACGGCCAUGCCUUCCUGAACAAGCCCGAUGUCUGAUCUUGGAAGCUAAGUAGGGUCAGGCCUGGUUAGUACUUCGAUGGGAGACUACCUAGGAAGACCAGGUGCUGUAGGCA